rnacentral:rRNA from 1 species
GACGAACGCUGGCGGCGGGCUUAACACAUGCAAGUCGAACGGAAAGGCCCUGCUUUUGUGGGGUGCUCGAGUGGCGAACGGGUCAGUAACACGUGAGUAACCUGCCCUUUACUUUGGGAUAACUUCAGGAAACUGGGGCUAAUACCGGAUAGGAGCUCCUGCUGCAUGGUGGGGGUUGGAAAUUUUCGGCGGUUGGGGAUGGACUCGCGGCUUAUCAGCUUGUUGGUGGGGUAGUGGAUUACCAAGGCGUUGACGGGUAGCCGGCCUGAGAGGGUGACCGGCCACAUUGGGACUGGGGUACGGGCAGGACGCAUACGGGAGGCAGGAGUGGGGAAUAUUGCACAAUGGGCGGAGGCCGGAUGGAGCAACGCCGCGUGCGGGAUGACGGCCGUCGGGUUGUAAACCGCUUUCGCCUGUGACGAAGCGUGAGUGACGGUAAUGGGUAAAGAAGCACCGGCUAACUACGU